rnacentral:rRNA from 1 species
AGAGUUUGAUUCUGGCUCAGGAUGAACGCUAGCGACAGGCUUAACACAUGCAAGUCGAGGGGCAGCGGGGGAGUAGCAAUACUCCCGCCGGCGACCGGCGCACGGGUGAGUAACACGUAUGAAACCUGCCCGUAGCAGGGGGAUAAGCGGAAGAAAUUCCGUCUAAUACCGCGUAACAACCCUUGGAGGCAUCUCCUCGGGUUUAAAGGAAGCGAUUCCGGCUACGGAUGGUCAUGCGUCGCAUUAGCUUGUUGGCGGGGUAACGGCCCACCAAGGCGACGAUGCGUAGGGGUUCUGAGAGGAAGGUCCCCCACACUGGUACUGAGACACGGACCAGACUCCUACGGGAGGCAGCAGUGAUGAAUAUCCCCUCAAUGGCCGCAAGGCUGAACCAGCCAAGUCGCGUGAGGGAUGACGGUCCUGUGGAUUG